rnacentral:lncRNA from 1 species
ACUAGAUUUAGCUGGGAAGAGAUGUUAUUCAAAGAAAAGACACCUCAACAUGACUAAGAAGAGGUUCAACCCUCCGAAGGGUGUAUGACCUGGGGUCUGCUCCGUGAGAUGGAACCCAUCCCAUAAUACUGUUCAGCUGUCCAAGAACCUGAGUCCAGAUAGACAAAGAAGUGAGCGAAGAAGCAACUACCACUGCUCUGCUAAAGACACGAGCUUGCACUUGGCAGAGAUUUGAUUCAUCAGGGAAGACAGAACUCCGUGUUUGCACGCUUUAAGGCAGAGAUGAAGUCUACUUUGGCAAGCCCCACAAGGAAAGAGAGAAAAGAAAACAAGAGCCAUAGUCCUCUGCAGGCCAAGAUACAGGAUUAAAGACACUCGAUCCAUUUUAGAAAAGACGUCUGCUAGCAUGUGUUUACCCAACGGCAGCUUCCUCUCCUUCCAGACUCUGGUCUGGUCCUUUCCCAUUAGCCUGAAGUGGGGGAAGUGACAUCUUACAUGAGAAAACGCUGUGAGGGAAAAGGAAGACUCCAUUGGUCCCCAGCGACCCUCCUGGGGUCCUCGUGUUUAGCAGGCAUCGCCUUGGAGAAUCUCUCUUGCUUAUGUUUAUAUGACAGCAUAUCUUCAGAAAUAAUAAACACUUGCAACUCAGCCCCUGCAGCUCCUCGAUCAACAGCGAACAGAGAAUGGCAGGAUUCCCAUCUUAUAACUGACCUGAGAUCCCCUUGACAGGUCUAAUAGGAUCAUGUGUUUCUAAAGUCUUGACAGAAAAUCAGAUUCUAAAGGGGCAUACUGCUAGAGAGGCCGAGUGACUUCUUUUAAUACUUUCUGAGUUUUUAGAUUUGUAUUCUCUGAGACUGAACUUGAGUGAACUUUCCCUCUUUUUAAAGAUAGCCUAAGAGUGGCACUAUACCUCAUCCUGAGUCACCAAUUAUUGCCUGUUGAUUUUGUAAUAAAACAUUCUGAUC